rnacentral:rRNA from 1 species
AGGGUUUGAUCCUGGCUCAGAUUGAACGCUGGCGGUAGGCUUAACACAUGCAAGUCGAGCGGAAACGAAGGUAGCUUGCUACCAGGCGUCGAGCGGCGGACGGGUGAGUAACGCGUAGGAACCUACCUAGUAGUUUGGGAUAGCCAUUGGAAACGAUGAUUAAUACCGGAUACGCCCUACGGGGGAAAGAGGGCUUCGGCUCUCGCUAUUAGAUGGGCCUGCGUAAGAUUAGCUAGUUGGUGAGGUAAAGGCUCACCAAGGCUACGAUCUUUAGCUGGUUUGAGAGGAUGAUCAGCCACACUGGGACUGAGACACGGCCCAGACUCCUACGGGAGGCAGCAGUGGGGAAUAUUGCACAAUGGGCGCAAGCCUGAUGCAGCCAUACCGCGUGUGUGAAGAAGGCUCUAGGGUUGUAAAGCACUUUCAGUAGGGAGGAAAGGUUAUAGUUUAAUACGCUAUAGCUGUGACGUUACCUACAGAAGAAGGACCGGCUAACUCCGUGCCAGCAGCCGCGGUAAUACGGAGGGUCCGAGCGUUAAUCGGAAUUACUGGGCGUAAAGCGUACGUAGGUGGUUUGUUAAGUUGGAUGUGAAAGCCCAGGGCUCAACCUUGGAACUGCAUUCAAAACUGAUGAACUAGAGUAUGGUAGAGGUAAGUGGAAUUUCCUGUGUAGCGGUGAAAUGCGUAGAGAUGGGAAGGAACAUCAGUGGCGAAGGCGACUUACUGGACCAAUACUGACACUGAGGUACGAAAGCGUGGGUAGCAAACAGGAUUAGAUACCCUGGUAGUCCACGCCGUAAACGAUGUCAACUAGCCGUUGGGAGACUUGAUCUCUUAGUGGCGCAGCUAACGCAAUAAGUUGACCGCCUGGGGAGUACGGCCGCAAGGUUAAAACUCAAAUGAAUUGACGGGGGCCCGCACAAGCGGUGGAGCAUGUGGUUUAAUUCGAUGCAACGCGAAGAACCUUACCAGGUCUUGACAUCCAGAGAACUUACUAGAGAUAGUUUGGUGCCUUCGGGAACUCUGUGACAGGUGCUGCAUGGCUGUCGUCAGCUCGUGUCGUGAGAUGUUGGGUUAAGUCCCGUAACGAGCGCAACCCUUAUCCUUAUUUGCCAGCACGUAAUGGUGGGAACUCUAAGGAGACUGCCGGUGAUAAACCGGAGGAAGGAGAGGAUGACGUCAAGUCAUCAUGGCCCUUACGGCCUGGGCUACACACGUGCUACAAUGGCAGGUACAGAGGGCAGCAAUACCGCGAGGUGGAGCAAAUCCCAGAAAACUGUUCGUAGUCCGGAUCGGAGUCUGCAACUCGACUCCGUGAAGUCGGAAUCGCUAGUAAUCGUAGAUCAGAAUGCUACGGUGAAUUCGUUCCCGGGCCUUGUACACACCGCCCGUCA